AGCAGCCGCGGUAAUUCCAGCUCCAAUAGCGUAUAUUAAAGUUGUUGCAGUUAAAAAGCUCGUAGUUGAAUUUCGGGAUCAAUAUGUUGGUCGUGCCUUGGUACGUACUGGCAUUAUCGAUUCCUACCUUCUGAAGAACCUCGAUGUCAUUAAUUUGGUGUCUUGGGGAAUCAGGACUGUUACUUUGAAAAAAUUAGAGUGUUUAAAGCAGGCUCGCGCUUGAAUACAUUAGCAUGGAACAAUGAAAUAGGACGUUUGAUUCUAUUUUGUUGGUUUCUAGGAUCGACGUAAUGAUUAAUAGGGGUAGUUGGGGGCAUUAGUAUUCAAUUGUCAGAGGUGAAAUUCUUGGAUUUAUUGAAGACUAACUACUGCGAAAGCAUUUGCCAAGGAUGUUUUCAUUAAUCAAGAACGAAAGUUAGGGGAUCGAAGACGAUCAGAUACCGUCGUAGUCUUAACCAUAAACUAUGCCGACUAGGGAUCGGAUGAUGUUAAUUUUUAAUGACUCAUUCGGCGUCCG
rnacentral:rRNA from 1 species